UUUAACUGAAGAGUUUGAUCAUGGCUCAGAUUGAACGCUGGCGGCAGGCUUAACACAUGCAAGUCGAGCGGGGGAAGGUAGCUUGCUACCGGACCUAGCGGCGGACGGGUGAGUAAUGCUUAGGAAUCUGCCUAUUAGUGGGGGACAACAUCUCGAAAGGGAUGCUAAUACCGCAUACGUCCUACGGGAGAAAGCAGGGGAUCUUCGGACCUUGCGCUAAUAGAUGAGCCUAAGUCGGAUUAGCUAGUUGGUGGGGUAAAGGCCUACCAAGGCGACGAUCUGUAGCGGGUCUGAGAGGAUGAUCCGCCACACUGGGACUGAGACACGGCCCAGACUCCUACGGGAGGCAGCAGUGGGGAAUAUUGGACAAUGGGGGGAACCCUGAUCCAGCCAUGC
rnacentral:rRNA from 1 species